AGCAGCCGCGGUAAUUCCAGCUCCAAUAGCGUAUAUUAAAGUUGCUGCAGUUAAAAAGCUCGUAGUUGAAUUUCGGAAUUUGUCGGUCGGUCAGGCUUUAUUGUCCGCACUGACCUGAUAGAUUCCUACCUUCUGAAUAACCAGCAUGCUAUUAAUUUAGUGCGUUGGGGAAGCAGAGCUAUUACCUUGAAAAAUUAGAGUGCUUAAAGCAGGCUUAUGCUUGAAUAGAUUAGCAUGGAAUAAUAAAAUAGGACGGCUUGGUUCUAUUUUGUUGGUUUCUAGGAUCACCGUAAUGAUUAAUAGGGAUAGUUGGGGGCAUUAGUAUUCAAUUGUCAGAGGUGAAAUUCUUGGAUUUAUUGAAGACUAACUUCUGCGAAAGCAUUUGCCAAGGAUGUUUUCAUUAAUCAAGAACGAAAGCUAGGGGAUCGAAGACGAUCAGAUACCGUCGUA
rnacentral:rRNA from 1 species